AAAUUGCAUUUUGAAGCAGACUUUACGGGAACAAUCAGAGCCUUGCAGGGGCCCAAAGCAGAACAGAGCUGUCAGCAGCAUGAAUGCCAUUCCUGUCAAACCUGCUGUUCCUCGUGUCCUCUGAUGAACCAGCAGCCUUUGCAGCUGUGUCUUCUCAGCAUGUUUCUGCAGGGGAUACAGAUUCGAACCCUGGUCCGGGAAGAUCCCAUAUGCCGC